GGGCCCGCACAAGCAGUGGAGUAUGUGGUUUAAUUCGAAGCAACGCGAAGAACCUUACCAGGGCUUGACAUCUCCUGAAUACCAUAGAGAUAUGGGAAGCCUUUCGAGGCAGGAAGACAGGUGGUGCAUGGUUGUCGUCAGCUCGUGUCGUGAGAUGUUGGGUUAAGUCCCGCAACGAGCGCAACCCCUACGGUCAGUUGCCAUCAUUAAGUUGGGAACGCUGGCAGGACUGCCGGUGACAAAUCGGAGGAAGGUGGGGACGACGUCAAAUCAUCAUGCCCCUUAUGUCCUGGGCUACACACGUACUACAAUGGCAACAACAGAGGGAAGCUAAGGAGCAAUCUGGAGCGAAUCCCCAAAAGUUGUCCCAGUUCAGAUUGAGGGCUGAAACCCGCCCUCAUGAAGUCGGAAUUGCUAGUAAUGGCAGGUCAGCAUACUG
rnacentral:rRNA from 1 species